rnacentral:misc_RNA from 1 species
GAUGAAGAACGUAGCGAAAUGCGAUAAGUAAUGCGAAUUGCAGAAUUUCCGUGAGUCAUCGAAUCUUUGAACGCACAUUGCGCCCACUGGUAUUCCGGUGGGCAUGCCUGUUCGCGCGUCAUUAUCCUCCCUCAAACCCCGGGUUUGGUGUUGGACCCAAGUUGUGUGAACAACUGGUCUUAAAGACAAUGACGGCGUCCGUGGGACCCUCGGUGCAACGAGCUUUUAGGAGCACGCAUCGAGUUGCAAGGACCUUCCGGGCCGGUCUCCUUUACUAUUUUACAAGGUUGACCUCGGAUCAGGUAGGAAUACCCGCUGAACUUAAGCAUAUCAAUAAGCGGAGGA